rnacentral:rRNA from 1 species
GACGAACGCUGGCGGCGUGCUUAACACAUGCAAGUCGAACGGAAAGGCCCUGCUUGCAGGGUACUCGAGUGGCGAACGGGUGAGUAACACGUGGGUGAUCUGCCCUGCACUUCGGGAUAAGCUUGGGAAACUGGGUCUAAUACCGGAUAGGACCGCACUUUAGUGUGUGUGGUGGAAAGUUUUUUCGGUGUAGGAUGAGCUCGCGGCCUAUCAGCUGGUUGGUGGGGUAAUGGCCUACCAAGGCGGCGACGGGUAGCCGGCCUGCGAGGGUGUACGGCCACACUGGGACUGAGAGACGGCCCAGACGCCUACGGGAGGCAGCAGUGGGGAAGAUUGAACAAUGGGCGCAAGCCUGAUGCAGCGACGCCGCGUGGGGGAUGAAGGCCUUCGGGUUGUAAAAUCCUUUCGCUAGGGACGAAGCUUUUUGUGACGGUACCUAGAUAAGAAGCACCGGCUAACUACGUG